rnacentral:lncRNA from 1 species
GAAAAGUGAUAAUCUCCAUCCAAAAAACGAUAAAACAUACUAAAAUGAAAGGUGAAACCUUGCGCUUUCGUUUACCCUUUUUUCAAACCUUAUCGGGUGGACCUCCACCUCCAUCAAAGUUGGACAAUUAACUGUUUCUAUAGACCUAGCUAUCAGUCAACGCAUGAAGCAGAACACAGUCAGCUACACUUCAAAACAUUUGAUCUAUAUACACCAACAAUUUCGUUGAAUGGUAGAAAAAAUUAUAUCAAAGGGUCUUCCCCUUGGCCUUGUGCUUAAGUUAGUAACAAAUUCAACGUACCCCUCUAUUUAUACACAGCAUACAUAUUCUUCUCUAUAUGUAUUGUUCCCAUACUUCGCGUUCUUCUCUAUAUAUAUUUUUCCCAUACUUCGCGUUCUUCUCGUACCUCAAUCGUGUCAAUAUCACUUGGGAACAAAGGACCUUCAACUUGAGGUAAAAAAACAAAGAAACAAGAAGAAAAGUCAAGGCUUCUGUAGCAGGAAAGAAGAGCAGCAGCAGCCAUGACCGUUUCAUCUUCUCUUUCUGUUGCCAAAAAUGGCAGAGUCCUCAUCGCCGGUGCCACCGGUUUCAUCGGGAGGUUCGUAGCUGAAGCCAGCCUCGCAGCCGGUCAACCCACGUAUGUUCUCGUCCGGCCCGGCCCUCUGCACCCUUCUAAGGCUGACACCGUCAAGUCCUUCAAAGACAAAGGCGCAAUAAUCUUACACGUAUGGAAAUAAAUCUCUGUGCAAAAUAUAUCCUUUUUUUUUAUGACUUUACAUGCAUUUAUAAUUUUUGUUCACUUUAUCAUGUUUUAAUAUGUUGUAAUAUUGACUAUUUUCAGGGGCUGAUUUCCGAUAAAACCCUAAUGGAGAAAAUGCUAAGAGAGCAUGAAAUCGAGAUAGUAAUAUCAGCCGUGGGUGGUGCCACAAUAUUGGACCAGAUCACCCUAGUCGACGCCAUUGCGGCAGUUGGUACAGUUAAGGUAAAUAUAUAUUAUAUUUCCGAUGCAAAAAAUAUAUAUUAUAUAUAAAUAUAUCAUAUUAUAUUAUAUUAUAUGCUUUUUGGAAAACAAAACCAUAUAAAAACAUUAUAUAUUUUGUAAUUAAUUUUUCUGCAAAAUUUAUGUUGCAGAGGUUUUUGCCGUCGGAGUUUGGACACGAUGUGGACAGGGCUGAUCCGGUGGAACCAGGGCUCACCAUGUAUUUGGAGAAACGCAAGGUUAGACGUUCCGUCGAGACAUCUGGGGUACCCUACACAUAUAUUUGCUGCAACUCGAUUGCUUCUUGGCCCUACUUUGACAACACCCACCCUUCUGAGGUUCUCCCACCGUUGGAUCGGUUCCAAAUCUACGGUGAUGGCACCGUCAAAGGUAUGAUACACACGCACACAUUUUGUUGGUGAAUUUGCAGCAUUCCAUUAAUUAGGGGUACACGUGUUUUCUUCUAAUGUCAUUCAAGCUUAAAGCAAUGCCAGCUAAAAAGGACAGAUAUUCGUAGGACUCACUUUUGCUUAUAUUAAAAAAUACGUAUUAUUUGAUCCAAAAGAAAUAAAUAAUUUAUUAGCAAUAAUAAAAGUCAUCAAGCAAUUAUUUCUCCAUUAUUUUUACUACCGAAAGUGGAAUGAUUCUUAGAGUAAACACUUUACAACCACCGCAAUUAUAAUGUGAACCAAGUUCUUUCACCAACUAAAGUCUAAGUAGUUUACUUUAGGGAAAUAAUAUCUACAAUUGAUUAAUUAUAAUUGAAAAGAUAACUAUUACGAGCUCGUUUGAAAGUAUUUUUAAAAUGAUUGAUAACACUUUUAAAGAAAUAUUUUGGAUUCUAAAAUCACUUAAAAUGCUUCCUUAAGUGAUUAUUUAAGGUGCUUCCCUAAUUUCAAUCAUUUUAUAAAUUCUUCCAAACAAAUCUUAUAUUCAUUAAGAUAAAAACAAAAAAUGUUAUUUUAAGUCAUUGCAGGUAGCCAAUGGUGAGCAUGUACAAGAUGAAAGAGAAAUUUUAGAAAGUGAUACUUAUCCUAGUUGAUGAGGACAUUUAUUUUUAUUAACCUUAAUUGAAGAAAUGAAUCAUUUUUAUUGAUAUAUGUUAAAAAAAAUGAAAUGACCAUGUACCUACAACAAAUAUAAAAUUAUGUACGACCUGAACCAAUUUUUUUUAUAAAAAACCUAAAAUAUUAUAUGAUUAGGUGUAAGUCACUAUUAUAAUAAGUAUAAAAUACCUCUUGAAAUAAAUAAAAGUUAAUAACAGUUAGAUUGAGGAUAGUUUAUUAACGAACGGACUGUUUUUUCUUUUGUCCUGAUUUGGUGGCAAGAAAACCUUGAGAUGUGUUAUCCACGCUCUUUUUUAUUUUUUAUUCACUUUUUAUUAAUUUCAGUCAUUUGAUCUUCUUCAAUUCAUCCGAUGAUAAAAAAACUUAGAAAGGUGUGUGAAAAGUAAAAAUGGUGUAUGGAUAGCACAUCCCUACUAAAAAAUUGGAAGCAUUUAUGCUCAUCCUAUAACUAUGGGGUAUGCUCUUCAUACAUCUUAUUAUCUGCCAUGUGUACUUUUACUUAACCCUAAUUAUUUUUUUUCCACAUUGAAAAUGAUCUUUUAAUAUGCAAGUUAACCAAAAUUAGAUGAAAGGAUACAAGGCAGAUGAUAAGGUAUAUAGUGAGUAUACAACAUAAUUUAUAGUGGUGCGCAAAAAUGCAUCCCAAAAAAAGAUAAAAUCUCCUAAUUUGAAGGGAGUAUGAUUCUUUUUCCUCCUCAUCUUUCUCCUCUUUUAUUCCUUCCCCUCCUAUUUAAACGGUUAGGAUUAAAGCACACUGAAAUUUAUGGAGAGAAAAAGACGAAAAAAAAGUGUGAGAUGAGGGAAGUAAGAGAUAGAAAAUACAUGUUACAUAAACGGUUAGGAUUUAGCCCAACUUAUGUUUUUGCAAGGGGCUUUUCUCAUAGUGCACAUGUUACUUACAUAUCUAAAUAACAACCGUUAAAUUUAUAUGAACGAACGAGACAAAACUUUACCUUAAGUUACAACCGGGAUACCAAACCUUGAAGUACAGAAUCCGGUAGUUCUCUAUCUUCUCGCUCCGGGCGUCUGUCUCUCUCCUCCCUUCCCUUAGCCAAAACCUCAGUUCCUGUCUAGACCUAGAGCACUGCUGCCAUCACCAACAACUCUUUUGAAUUAGAUGAUGGGUUAAGUGUUUGUGUUGAUAAUUUUGGAGGGAAAUAGAACUUGGUGGAGGUCCUGGGGAGGAGUGGCUUUGGGUGGCUUGAGGGUUUUUGAUAGGUGGAGAGUUGAGUGGUUAACGGAGGCACAGUCGCCAACGGAUUAUAAUCUUUCGGCGGAGGUGUUUGGCCAACGGUGGGGAGAGGUAGGGGAGGUGACCAGGAGAAAGAGGAAGAGGUGGCAACUUUCGGCGCCCGUUCGUUAAGGUUGAUCGGUGGGUUAGAAGUAAAUGGGUAAAUAAAAUGUGCAUGUAGACGUGUGCACUGGGGAAGCAGCCUUUCGGCGAGUUGGAUGGAUGGGCGAAAACAUGGAAUUUUGAAUAUUCUAAGCCGUCCACGUGUAGGGUAGUCCUUUCUCCUCGGCACCGAACUUGUCUGUUGCUGUUAGGCCGUGCCCAACCUCCAGCCCAAAGCUGGGGCCCACUUUAUUCAUCCUCGCUCACCGCAAGUCUGCAACCUAAAGUGGGGCCCACUUUAGUCGGUCCCACAGUUCAUAUACUGUUCAAUAAUAAUAAUAAUAAUAUUAUUAUUAUUAUUUUAUUUUCGGAAGAUUCAAUGUUUCUGUAUCCACUAGUGAAUGUGGGAAAAUGUGUUUGAUGGUAUGUCUGAUGCACCUGCCAUUAAUUACUAAGGUACGAAAGAGAUACCUGCGCAUAUUUUUUGGUAUUUUACUAAUAUUACAACAUACACGUAAGCAUUUUUGUAGUAUUCAAGCUUUCAGCUCGACUUUUGAUGUUAUAUUUUUACUAUGUUACACAAAAUUUACAGC